GACGAACGCUUGCGGCGUGCUUAACACAUGCAAGUCGAACGGAAAGGCCCUGCUUUUGUGGGGUGCUCGAGUGGCGAACGGGUGAGUAACACGUGAGUAACCUGCCCUUGACUUUGGGAUAACUUCAGGAAACUGGGGCUAAUACCGGAUAGGAGCUCCUGCUGCAUGGUGGGGGUUGGAAAGUUUCGGCGGUUGGGGAUGGACUCGCGGCUUAUCAGCUUGUUGGUGGGGUAGUGGCUUACCAAGGCUUUGACGGGUAGCCGGCCUGAGAGGGUGACCGGCCACAUUGGGACUGAGAUACGGCCCAGACUCCUACGGGAGGCAGCAGUGGGGAAUAUUGCACAAUGGGCGGAAGCCUGAUGCAGCAACGCCGCGUGCGGGAUGACGGCCUUCGGGUUGUAAACCGCUUUCGCCUGUGACGAAGCGUGAGUGACGGUAAUGGGUAAAGAAGCACCGGCUAACUACGUGCCAGCAGCCGCGGUGAUACGUAGGGCGCGAGCGUUGUCCGGAUUUAUUGGGCGUAAAGGGCUCGUAGGUGGUUGAUCGCGUCGGAAGUGUAAUCUUGGGGCUUAACCCUGAGCGUGCUUUCGAUACGGGUUGACUUGAGGAAGGUAGGGGAGAAUGGAAUUCCUGGUGGAGCGGUGGAAUGCGCAGAUAUCAGGAGGAACACCAGUGGCGAAGGCGGUUCUCUGGGCCUUUCCUGACGCUGAGGAGCGAAAGCGUGGGGAGCGAACAGGCUUAGAUACCCUGGUAGUCCACGCUGUAAACGGUGGGUACUAGGUGUGGGGUCCAUUCCACGGGUUCCGUGCCGUAGCUAACGCUUUAAGUACCCCGCCUGGGGAGUACGGCCGCAAGGCUAAAACUCAAAGGAAUUGACGGGGCCCCGCACAAGCGGCGGAGCAUGCGGAUUAAUUCGAUGCAACGCGUAGAACCUUACCUGGGUUUGACAUGGAUCGGGAGUGCUCAGAGAUGGGUGUGCCUCUUUUGGGGUCGGUUCACAGGUGGUGCAUGGCUGUCGUCAGCUCGUGUCGUGAGAUGUUGGGUUAAGUCCCGCAACGAGCGCAACCCUUGUUCACUGUUGCCAGCACGUUAUGGUGGGGACUCAGUGGAGACCGCCGGGGUCAACUCGGAGGAAGGUGGGGAUGACGUCAAGUCAUCAUGCCCCUUAUGUCCAGGGCUUCACGCAUGCUACAAUGGCUGGUACAGAGAGUGGCGAGCCUGUGAGGGUGAGCGAAUCUCGGAAAGCCGGUCUCAGUUCGGAUUGGGGUCUGCAACUCGACCUCAUGAAGUCGGAGUCGCUAGUAAUCGCAGAUCAGCAACGCUGCGGUGAAUACGUUCCCGGG
rnacentral:rRNA from 1 species